UACAGCCAAGCCUACAGGGCCAGUGCAG
rnacentral:piRNA from 1 species